UAUCAUAGCAGUGAGACUGUGGGGGAUAAGCUCCAUUGUCGAAAGGGAAACAGCCCAGAUCGCAAGUUAAGGUCCCUAAGUAUAUGCUAAGUGUUAAACGAAGUAGGGUCGCCCAGACAGCCAGGAGGUUGGCUUAGAAGCAGCCAUCCUUUAAAGAGUGCGUAACAGCUCACUGGUCAAACGCAGUUGCGCGGAUAAUGUAACGGGGCUCAAACACGUCACCGAAGCUAGGGAUAUAACCAGGUUAAACCUGGAGAUAUGGUAGGGGAGCGUUGAUACGGCGGAGAAGGUGUCCUGGCAAGGGAUGCUGGAGCGGUAUCAAGUGCGAAUGCUGGUAUGAGUAGCGAGAAAUGCGUGAGAACCGCAUUGGCCGAAAAUCUAAGGUUUCCGACGGAAGGUCAGUCCGCGUCGGGUUAGUCGGGCCUAAGCCGAGGCCGAGAGGCGUAGGCGAUGGACAACGGGUUAAUAUUCCCGUACCGGUAGCAUGUUGGAGAGGAACUCCUGGUGGAGGCUCAGCCACUGAGUGGAUUGUGGUUGCAAGCGGAGGAAGUCCGCGAUGCCGUGCCGAAAUGGCAAGAAGUGAGAGGUACACUGGGACUAGAAAAGACCGAACUGUAAAUGCUACUGCCCGUACCGCAAACCGACACAGGUAGAUGGGUAGAGGAUACCAAGGCCAACGGGAGAACCUUCGUUAAGGAAUUAGGCAAAAUGGAUCCGUAACUUCGGGAUAAGGAUCACCCCUGAGAGGGGGUCGCAGUGAAAUGGCUCUGCCGACUGUUUACCAAAAACACAGGUCUCUGCCAAGCCGAAAGGCGAAGUAUAGGGGCUGAAGCCUGCCCAGUGCCGGAAGGUUAAGUGGACGUGUUAACGCACUGAAAUGAAGCCCCGGUGAACGGCGGCCGUAACUAUAACGGUCCUAAGGUAGCGAAAUUCCUUGUCGGGUAAGUUCCGACCCGCACGAAAGGCUUAACGAGUGGAGCACUGUCUCAACGAGGGACCCGGCGAAAUUGAAGUAUGCGUAAAAAUGCGUAUUACCUGCAGCAGGACAAAAAGACCCCGUGGAGCUUUACUGUAGCCUGUCAUUGCGUUAGGGUGCAACUUGUGUAGGAUAGCUGGGAGACUAGGAAGCGUGGACGUCAGUCUGCGUGGAGUCAACGUUGAAAUACCAGCCUGGUUCUACUUUGACCCUAACCCGCCCUUUCACAGAGGGGGGGACAGUGACUGGUGGGCAGUUUGACUGGGGCGGUCGCCUCCGAAAGAGUAACGGAGGCGCCCAAAGGUUGGCUCAGGCGGAAUGGAAACCCGUCAAAGAGUGUAAAGGCAAAAGCCAGCUUGACUGGGAGAGAGACACCUCGACCAGAGACGAAAGUCGGGCUUAGUGAUCCUACGGCGCUGAGUGGAAAGGCCGUAGCUUACCGGAUAAAAGCUACCCCGGGGAUA
rnacentral:rRNA from 1 species